AUACUUACCUUGUGGGAGCGGCUCAGCUCAAGAAGUGAGUCCGCUAUGGCGGUGUCCCUGCAUUGCACAUCGCGGUGGAUGUCGCCAUUAAGUGUCCUUCGGGGCUCUUAUCCGCGUAUUUUUUGGCUC
rnacentral:snRNA from 24 species